AGCGAACGCUGGCGGUAGGCCUAACACAUGCAAGUCGAACGGCAGCACAGUAAGAGCUUGCUCUUACGGGUGGCGAGUGGCGGACGGGUGAGGAAUACAUCGGAAUCUACUUUUUCGUGGGGGAUAACGUAGGGAAACUUACGCUAAUACCGCAUACGACCUACGGGUGAAAGCAGGGGAUCUUCGGACCUUGCGCGAUCGAAUGAGCCGAUGUCGGAUUAGCUAGUUGGCGGGGUAAAGGCCCACCAAGGCGACGAUCCGUAGCUGGUCUGAGAGGAUGUUCAGCCACACUGGAACUGAGACACGGUCCAGACUCCUACGGGGGGCAGCAGUGGGGAAUAUUGGACAAUGGGCGCAAGUCUGAUCCAGCCAUACCGCGUGGGUGAAGAGGGCCUUCGGGUUGUAAAGCCCUUUUGUUGGGAAAGAAGAGCAGCAGGUUAAUACCCCGCUGUCCUGACGGUACCCAAAGAAUAAGCACCGGCUAACUUCGUG
rnacentral:rRNA from 1 species